AGUGUCAGCACCGUGUUUAGAAAUACCUAAUUAUAACCUUGCCUUCAAUUUAUUUUGUCAUGAAAACACAGGACAUGCCAAAGGGGUGCUGACUCAGAUACAUGGAGGAAAGCAUCGACCUUUAGGCUAUUAUUCAUUGCAUCUUGAUGUGGUAGCAAGGGGGGCUCCGUCCUGCAUACGCUCAGUAGCAGCUUGUGCACUACUAACAGGAAAAAUUGCAGAUAUUGUUCUGGAUCAUGCUCUUACAAUCUAUGUCCCCCAUGCUGUGCAGGAAUUAUUAUCUCAGGCAAAGACUCGUCAUUUGUCAAUGAUGAGAUUAACUAAAUAUGAAGUUGCACUGCUUACUCCACCAAACAUAACAAUUAAAAGGUGUACUGUUUUAAACCCAGCAACUUUGCUGCCAGAAACUAAUCAAUCAAACCAAGAGAUGGCAAAUAAUAUUAUUG